UACGGGAGGCAGCAGUGGGGAAUAUUGCACAAUGGGCGAAAGCCUGAUGCAGCUAUGCCGCGUGUAUGAAGAAGGCCUUAGGGUUGUAAAGUACUUUCAUCGGGGAGGAAAAACAAAACUAAUAAUUUUAUUUCUUGACGUUACCCGAAAAAGAAGCACCGGCUAACUCCGUGCCAGCAGCCGCGGUAAUACGGAGGGUGCUAGCGUUAAUCAGAAUUACUGGGCGUAAAGAGCACGUAGGUGGUUUUUUUAAGUCAGAUGUGAAAUCCCUGGGCUUAACCUGGAAACUGCAUUUUGAAACUGAAAUACUAGAGUAUCGUAGAGGGAGGUAGAAUUCUAGGUGUAGCGGUGAAAUGCGUAGAUAUCUGGAGGAAUACCUGUGGCGAAAGCGGCCUCCUAAACGAAUACUGACACUGAGGUGCGAAAAGCGUGGGGAGCAAACAGGGAUUAGAUACC
rnacentral:rRNA from 1 species